AGUCAUUUUAGAAUUAUCGUGACUAGGCAAUUAGUUUAAUUUUAUAACUUAGAUUAAUUUAGGAGUUGAUUUGUAGGAUUUUAUUAAUUAAAAAAAAAAGAGGAAAAAAAAAAGAAAAAAAAACGAAUUUGAAAAAAAGAGUUGUCCAAAUUGGGCUGGGAUUAAUCCAAUCCCCUUCCCCAGCCCAAACGCCCUCGCCCACCGGCUAGCCCAAACCCUUGACCUGCCUGCCUCACGACCCGCUCCAUUUCCCCUUAGUAUAUAAGGCCCUUAUAAUAUUUUCCCAGUAAAUGAACCCUAGAUCCCAAAUUCAGAGACGACACUUUACUGUUCACCAUCUUCUUCACCAUUAGAUCUGCGUCCAAACUCGCACGAGUGAGCUCAAACUCACCUCAUGCACACCCCAUCUCACCACGUCACCGAAUAUUCUAACGACUUCUGACAUUUUUUCCACUCAUGUGCUGAAUUCGUUGAAAUCUCUGAGGAAUAAAUUCUGAAAAAUUGGAGCCGUGGAUUGAUUUGAGGAUCAAUCCCCUCCUUCCAUCUGUCAGAAUUGGUUCCGAAAGAGAUUUUCAGAUUUCGUGUAUGUGAAGAAAGGAAGAGAAUGUUCGAGAUUUUUGGGGAGAUAUAUAUAAGAUAAGGCUUCUCUUCUGAAAAGGGGGAUUUUUUGGGCAGAAAGGCGAGGAUUGAAAAGAGAUUUUUCUUCUUCUUCAUUUUGAAUUUUAGUUCAGUUUUCCAGAACAAGAGAAGAUAUAAAAAAAUGUUCAUUGUUCUUUGAAUUGGUUUCAUUUUCGAUUGCUUUUCAAAAAAAAAAAUUAGAAAAUAUAUAUUCCAUUGUUUCUUUUUGGGCUAGAGGUUUGUUUGGGAAUGGUGAUCGUUUGAGAGUUGCUGAGUUUGCUGUUGUCCGAGCUUCUAUUUUCUACUCAAUUUUAUUGCUUGUUUGGAUUGACAUUAGCUUUCGGAUUUCAUUUGUAUUCAAUGUUCGAGCAAAGUUAAACGGAAGUGUUUUACUGAUUCAGCCGGAUUUUCGUGGAAAGGGCAUUAUUACGGAUUGAUUUGAGCUUGGUUCGAGAUCCAGGUACCAUUUAUCAGCAGCAUUACCAGUGAGGUGAGCCAACUAUAGAGACUUUCAGAUAUAUCUUCCGCGUCCGUAGACCUCGAAGUCACUAUCUAUUCCUCCCCAUGUCAAACACUUCUUGUAUUAGACUCUGGAGUAUGGGAGUACUAUUUCUUUCUUUAGCUUGUGACUUAUGACAUUCCGGGGUUUGGGAGAGUUUAUGUACUUUUCGAAAGUGAUUAUUGUAUAUGCCGAGCGACAUCUCAUUUCCUUGUUUAAAUUUACAUGUUAGUUGAUAGUUUUUUUA